CAGUAGCCGCGGUAAUACGUAGGGUGCAAGCGUUAAUCGGAAUUACUGGGCGUAAAGUGUGCGCAGGCGGUUAUAUAAGACAGAUGUGAAAUCCCCGGGCUCAACCUGGGAACUGCAUUUGUGACUGUAUAGCUAGAGUACGGCAGAGGGGGAUGGAAUUCCGCGUGUAGCAGUGAAAUGCGUAGAUAUGCGGAGGAACACCGAUGGCGAAGGCAAUCCCCUGGGCCUGUACUGACGCUCAUGCACGAAAGCGUGGGGAGCAAACAGGAUUAGAUACCCGUGUAGUCCCUGUCUCUUAUAC
rnacentral:rRNA from 1 species